rnacentral:rRNA from 1 species
GAUGAACGCUGGCGGCGUGCCUAAUACAUGCAAGUCGCGCGAACAGACGAGGAGCUUGCUCCUCUGACGUUAGCGGCGGACGGGUGAGUAACACGUGGAUAACCUACCUAUAAGACUGGGAUAACUUCGGGAAACCGGAGCUAAUACCGGAUAAUAUAUUGAACCGCAUGGUUCAAUAGUGAAAGACGGUUUUGCUGUCACUUAUAGAUGGAUCCGCGCCGCAUUAGCUAGUUGGUAAGGUAACGGCUUACCAAGGCGACGAUGCGUAGCCGACCUGAGAGGGUGAUCGGCCACACUGGAACUGAGACACGGUCCAGACUCCUACGGGAGGCAGCAGUAGGGAAUCUUCCGCAAUGGGCGAAAGCCUGACGGAGCAACGCCGCGUGAGUGAUGAAGGUCUUCGGAUCGUAAAACUCUGUUAUUAGGGAAGAACAAAUGUGUAAGUAACUAUGCACGUCUUGACGGUACCUAAUCAGAAAGCCACGGCUAACUACGUG